AGAGUUUGAUCCUGGCUCAGGACGAACGCUGGCGGCGCGCCUAACACAUGCAAGUCGAACGAGCGAGAGAGAGCUUGCUUUCUCAAGCGAGUGGCGAACGGGUGAGUAACGCGUGAGGAACCUGCCUCAAAGAGGGGGACAACAGUUGGAAACGACUGCUAAUACCGCAUAAGCCCACGACCCGGCAUCGGGUAGAGGGAAAAGGAGCAAUCCGCUUUGAGAUGGCCUCGCGUCCGAUUAGCUAGUUGGUGAGGUAAUGGCCCACCAAGGCGACGAUCGGUAGCCGGACUGAGAGGUUGAACGGCCACAUUGGGACUGAGACACGGCCCAGACUCCUACGGGAGGCAGCAGUGGGGAAUAUUGCACAAUGGGGGAAACCCUGAUGCAGCGACGCCGCGUGGAGGAAGAAGGUCUUCGGAUUGUAAACUCCUGUUGUUGAGGAAGAUAAUGACGGUACUCAACAAGGAAGUGACGGCUAACUACGUGCCAGCAGCCGCGGUAAAACGUAGGUCACAAGCGUUGUCCGGAAUUACUGGGUGUAAAGGGAGCGCAGGCGGGAAGACAAGUUGGAAGUGAAAUCCAUGGGCUCAACCCAUGAACUGCUUUCAAAACUGUUUUUCUUGAGUAGUGCAGAGGUAGGCGGAAUUCCCGGUGUAGCGGUGGAAUGCGUAGAUAUCGGGAGGAACACCAGUGGCGAAGGCGGCCUACUGGGCACCAACUGACGCUGAGGCUCGAAAGUGUGGGUAGCAAACAGGAUUAGAUACCCUGGUAGUCCACACUGUAAACGAUGAUUACUAGGUGUUGGAGGAUUGACCCCUUCAGUGCCGCAGUUAACACAAUAAGUAAUCCACCUGGGGAGUACGACCGCAAGGUUGAAACUCAAAGGAAUUGACG
rnacentral:rRNA from 1 species